GACGAACGCUGGCGGCGUGCUUAACACAUGCAAGUCGAACGGAAAGGCCCUGCUUUUGUGGGGUGCUCGAGUGGCGAACGGGUGAGUAACACGUGAGUAACCUGCCCUUGACUUUGGGAUAACUUCAGGAAACUGGGGCUAAUACCGGAUAGGAGCUCCUGCUGCAUGGUGGGGGUUGGAAAGUUUCGGCGGUUGGGGAUGGACGCGCGGCUUAUCAGCUUGUUGGUGGGGUAGUGGCUUACCAAGGCUUUGACGGGUAGCCGGCCUGAGAGGGUGACCGGCCACAUUGGGACUGAGAUACGGCCCAGACUCCUACGGGAGGCAGCAGUGGGGAAUAUUGCACAAUGGGCGGAAGCCGGAUGCAGCAACGCCGCGUGCGGGAUGACGGCCUUCGGGGUGUAAACCGCUUUCGCCUGUGACGAAGCGUGAGUGACGGUAAUGGGUAAAGAAGCACCGGCUAACUACGUG
rnacentral:rRNA from 1 species